rnacentral:rRNA from 1 species
CCCUUAGAUGUUCUGGGCCACACGCGCGUUACGCUGAUGAAGCCAGCGAGUAUAUCGCCUUCACCGGAAGGUGCGGGUAAUCUUGUGAAACUUCAUCGUGCUGGGGAUAGACCAUUGCAAUUAUUGGUCUUGAACGAGGAAUUCCUAGUAAGCAUGAGUCAUCAACUCGUGCUGAUUACGUCCCUGCCCUUUGUACACACCGCCCGUCGCUACUACCGAUUGAAUGGUUUAGUGAGAUCUCGGGAUUGGAGACGUUGCGCCGCAAGGCACAUCGUCCUCGAGAACUUGAUCAAACUUGAUCAUUUAGAGGAAGUAAAAGUCGUAACA